UACGUAGGGGGCAAGCGUUGUCCGGAAUCAUUGGGCGUAAAGCGCGUGUAGGCGGCCUUGUAAGUCCGUUCUGAAAGUCCGGGGCUCAACCCCGGGAGGCGGAUGGAUACUGCAAGGCUCGAGUACGGAAGAGGCGAGUGGAAUUCCCGGUGUAGCGGUGAAAUGCGCAGAUAUCGGGAGGAACACCAAUGGCGAAGGCAGCUCGCUGGGACGUGACUGACGCUGAGACGCGAAAGCGUGGGAGCG
rnacentral:rRNA from 1 species